rnacentral:rRNA from 1 species
UACGGAGGGAGCUAGCGUUGUUCGGAAUUACUGGGCGUAAAGCGCACGUAGGCGGCUUUGUAAGUUAGAGGUGAAAGCCCGGGGCUCAACUCCGGAACUGCCUUUAAGACUGCAUCGCUUGAAUCCAGGAGAGGUGAGUGGAAUUCCGAGUGUAGAGGUGAAAUUCGUAGAUAUUCGGAGGAACACCAGUGGCGAAGGGCGGCUCACU